GCCCUGUAAAGCAGGGGUUCCCAAACAUUUCUGCCUGUGACCCUGAAAAUAUAUAUUUUUAAAUGAUAUUUAAUCAUUUAAUUUCAUCAUUUAAGCACUGUUGCCUUGCAGCAAGAAGGCCCUGGGUUCGAAUCCCAGCCAGGGGUCU